rnacentral:rRNA from 1 species
UGAAUUUAAGCAUAUCAAUAAGCGGAGGAAAAGAAACUAACCAGGAUUCCCUUAGUAACGGCGAGUGAACAGGGACUAGCCCAGCACCGAAGCCUGCGUCUAUUUGGCGUUAGGCAAUGUGGUGUUUAGGUUAAUGCUUUUGAGUGCAGCUCCGUUCCAAGUCCAAUCUUGAAUAUGGCUAUUUGACUGGCCCAGAGAGGGUGAAAGGCCCGUGUGGACGGAGUGGUGCUUGACCGUAUUAACUAUGGAGUCGGGUUGUUUGAGAAUGCAGCCCAAAGUUGGUGGUAAACUCCAUCUAAGGCUAAAUACUGGCACGAGUCCGAUAGCGAACAAGUACCGUGAGGGAAAGUUGAAAAG